CCCUUAGAUGUUCUGGGCUGCACGCGCGUUACACUGACACACCCAGCGAGUCUCCUGCCCUGACAGGGUUGGGUAAUCAUUGGGGUGUGUGUCGUGAUGGGGAUAGAGUAUUGCAAUUAUUGCUCUCGAACGAGGAAUUCCUAGUAAGCACAAGUCAGCAGCUUGUGCUGAUUACGUCCCUGCCCUUUGUACACACCGCCCGUCGCUCCUACCGAGGGGGUGAUCCGGUGAAUGAUUCGGACUUUGGCGUUUCUAGCUGCUAGCAGCGCUGAAGAAAGUUUUGUGAACCUUAUCACUUGGAGGAAGGAGAAGUCGUAACA
rnacentral:rRNA from 1 species